UAUCAUUGAACGCCAUGGCGAUGAUAUUCAUAUCACGGACGGGACGUCAGUCUCCCAGGCCGCUAUAUAAAUGUUAGAUUGGAUCCGUAAGCAAUCAGUCGCAGCAGUCGAUAGCAUCCUCAUCUAGCAACCUGCUAGAGAUCAGUUUUGUUGUCUCGACGUUAUUGUGUAUCAACAACCAACAUGUUCAAGCAGUGCCUGUUCUUCAUCGCAGCUUUUCUGCUCGUAGCGUCAGCGGUAGCGAAGCCUCAAGUCCUGCUUGAUACCUAUGGCUACUACGCCGCCCCAGCCUACGUCGCGUCAUACAGCACACCACUGGCAUACUCCUACCCUUACGCAUAUGCUUAUUCCUACCCACUUGCCUAUUACUAGAAAAUACCAAAUUCGGACCCUCGAUUAAAUUAAUUACUAAUAGCGUAUUAUGUUUAUAUUGAUUUUAUUGCAACAAAUAAUCUAAAAUGUGUGUGCAAAUUAAUCUUAAAAAUUAAAUAACGCGGUACUGUACCUACGUUAUAGUUUUAUUUUCUCACGAUUAAACAAUGGACUGAACAAGAUCACGAACAGCAAAAAAACCAAUCCUAUCAAAAAAAAAUUACAAUACAUAAUGUUAAAAGGUUCGUGAUGAAAAUCAAUAAUGAUGACAUUAGACAUGUAUCUUUAAUCUUGUUAUGUUUUUGCGGCACUAUUAUAGCAAUAUUAAUGUUAUUACGUGAACAAUAAAGCAUUAUUUUAAAACA